UGCUCUUGUUCUCCAUGUACUUCACAGUGUCCCAGAACUUUUUGGAGUUGGAGCUACAGGAUGCAAAUUUCUGCCUGAAGAAGCUGGCCUUAGCUUUCCUGACUGACUGCGUGUAUUGGUUCCUGAUUUCCCUGAACAGUUGCAUAUCGCGGGGACUAUUCGAUGCUAUUGCAGUCCGCCACAGGAUGUUUUUGUGCUGGUCGAGGGCAGUCAGGUCUGGAGUGAACCAAGGGCUAUAUCUGUUCUUAGUUCUACAUUUUUUGAACGGAGCAUGCUUAUCUAAAAUGGUGAGGAAGUUACUUUUAAAGAAUGACCAGGCAUCCUCAACUGACGGGAUGAGGUCAAUGUCCUUCCAGGAUACCCGGGCCAGGUCAAUUACAAAGGCCUGCUCACAGAAGUGUUUUAGGGAGCGUUUGACAGUGAUGAGGGGUGGUCGUUUGACUGCGGAUCCGUAGCGGAUACAGGCAAUGAGGCAGUGAUCGCUGAGAUCCUGGUUUAAGACAGCGGAGGUGUAUUUGGAGGGCCAGUUGGUCAGUGUGACGUCUAUGAGGGUGCCCUUGUUUACAGAUUUAGGGUUGUACAUGGUGGGUUCCUUGAUGAUUUGUGUGAGAUUGAGGGGAUCUAGCUUAGAUUGUAGGACUGCCGGGGUGUUAAGCACAUCCCAGUUUAGGUCACCUAACAGAACAAACUCUGAAGCUAGAUGGGGGGCGAUCAAUUCACAAAUGGUGUCCAGGGCAUAGCUGGGAGCUUAGGGGGGUCGGUAGCAGGCGGCAACAGUGAGAGACUUAUUUCUGGAGAGAGUAAUUUUCAAAAUUAGUAGUUCGAACUGUUUGGGUAUGGACCUGGAAAGUAUGACAUUACUUUGCAGGCUAUCUCUGCAGUAGACUGCAACUCCUCCCCCUUUAGCAGUUCUAUCUUGACGGAAGAUGUUAUAGUUGGGUAUGGAAAUCUCUGAAUUUUUGGUGGCCUUCCUGAGCCAGGAUUCAGACACAGCAAGGACAUCAGGGUUAGCAGAGUGUGCUAGAGCAGUGAGUAAAACAAACUUAGGGAGGAGGCUUCUGAUGUUGACAUGCAUGAAACCAAGGCUUUUUCGAUCACAGAAGUCAACAAAUGAGGGUGCCUGGGGACAUGCAGGGCCUGGGUUUACCUCCACAUCACCCGCGGAACAGAGAAGGAGUAGUAUGAGGGUGCGGCUAAAGGCUAUCAAAACUGGUCGCCUAGAGCGUUGGGGACAGAGAAUAAGAGGAGCAGGUUUCUGGGCAUGGUAGAAUAUAUUCAGGGCAUAAUGCGCAGACAGGGGUAUGGUGGGGUGCGGGUACAGCGGGGGUAAGCCCAGGCACUGGGUGAUGAUGAGAGAGGUUGUGUCUCUGGACAUGCUGGUUGUAAUGGGUGAGGUCACCGCAUGUGUGGGAGGUGGGACAAAGGAGUUAUCAGGGGUAUGAAGAGUAGAACUAGGGGCUCCAUUGUGAACUAGAACAAUGAUAACUAACCUGAGCAACAGUAUACAAGGCAUAUUGACAUUUGAGAGAGACAUACAGCGAGGCAUACAGUAAUCACAGGUGUUGAAUUGGGAAAGCUAGCUUAAACAGUAGGUGAGACAACAGCUAAUCAGCUAGCACAACAACAGCAGGUAAAAUGGCGUUGACUAGGCAACGGGGCCGACAGAUAAAACAUAAACAAGCAGAAUGGAGUACCGUGAUUAAUGGACAGUCCAGAGUGCAUCAGCUAUGUAGCCAAGAGAUCAGUGUCCAGGGGGCAGCGGUGGAUGGGGCAGGGAAGCUGGACUGGCGAGUGUUAUCCAGGUUGAAAAAAAGUUAACAAUGACUAAAUAGCUUGUAGCUAGUUAGCUGGUUAGCUUCUGGAGGUUCUUGAGUGUGUUCUAAAAAUUAAAAAUAAUAGCGAUUCCGUAUCACAUUGGGUGAGGCAGGUUUCCGGAAAGGUAUAAACAGAUUAAAAAUC
ensembl:lncRNA